AUGCUUACCUGGCAGCGGAAAUACCAUGAUCACGAAGGUGGUUUUUUCCCAGGGCGAAGCGUGUCCACUGUACUCCGGAUGUGCUGAUCCUUGCGGCUUCCCCAAAUGUGGGAAACUCGACUGCAUCGUUUUUGGUGGUGGAGGAGUGCGUUCGCGCUCUCCCCUG